rnacentral:lncRNA from 1 species
UACAGACACAUUACAGAGAUACAGACACAUUACAGACACAGACACAUUACAGAGAUACAGACACAUUACAGAGAUACAGACACAUUACAGAGAUACAGACACAUUACAGAGAUACAGACACUUUAUAUAGAUACAGACACAUUACAGAGAUACAGACACAUUACAGAGAUACAGACACAUUACAGAGAUACAGACACAUUACAGAGAUACAGACACAUUACAGAGAUACAGACACAUUACAGAGACAUUACAGAGAUACAGACACAUUACAGAGAUACAGACACAUUACAGAGAUACAGACACAUUACAGAGAUACAGACACAUUACAGAGAUACAGACACAUUACAGAGACACAUUACAGAGAUACAGACACAUUAUAUAGAUACAGACACAUUACAGAGAUACAUUAUAUAGAUACAGACACAUUACAGAGAUACA